rnacentral:rRNA from 1 species
GAUGAACGCUGGCUACAGGCUUAACACAUGCAAGUCGAGGGGAAACGAUAGAGAAAGCUUGCUUUUUCUAGGCGUCGACCGGCGCACGGGUGAGUAACGCGUAUCCAACCUGCCCAUCACUUGGGGAUAACCUUGCGAAAGUAAGACUAAUACCCAAUGAUAUCUCUAGAAGACAUCUGAAAGAGAUUAAAGAUUUAUCGGUGAUGGAUGGGGAUGAGUCUGAUUAGCUUGUUGGCGGGGUAACGGCCCACCAAGGCGACGAUCAGUAGGGGUUCUGAGAGGAAGGUCCCCCACAUUGGAACUGAGACACGGUCCAAACUCCUACGGGAGGCAGCAGUGAGGAAUAUUGGUCAAUGGACGAGAGUCUGAACCAGCCAAGUAGCGUGCAGGAUGACGGCCCUAUGGGUUGUAAACUGCUUUUAUAAGGGAAUAAAGUGAGUCUCGUGAGACUUUUUGCAUGUACCUUAUGAAUAAGGACCGGCUAAUUCCGUGCCAGCCGCCGCCGUAACAC